rnacentral:tRNA from 1 species
GCCUGGGUGGCUCAGUCGGUUAAGCGUCCGACUUCAGCUCAGGUCACGAUCUCGCGGUCCGUGGGUUCGAGACCCGCGUCAGGCU